AAUGGGGGAAACCCUGACGCAGCAACGCCGCGUGAAGGAAGAAGGCCUUCGGGUUGUAAACUUCUUUGAUGAGGGACGAACAAAUGACGGUACCUCAAGAACAAGCCACGGCUAACUACGUGCCAGCAGCCGCGGUAAUACGUAGGUGGCAAGCGUUGUCCGGAAUUACUGGGUGUAAAGGGCGUGUAGGCGGGGAUGUAAGUCAGAUGUGAAAUACCACGGCUCAACUGUGGGGGUGCAUCUGAAACUAUGUCUCUUGAGUGCUGGAGAGGAAAGCGGAAUUCCUAGUGUAGCGGUGAAAUGCGUAGAUAUUAGGAGGAACACCAGUGGCGAAGGCGGCUUGCUGGACAAAUACUGACGCUGAGGUGCGAAAGCGUGGGGAGCAAA
rnacentral:rRNA from 1 species